rnacentral:rRNA from 1 species
UACGUAGGGUGCGAGCGUUGUCCGGAAUUAUUGGGCGUAAAGAGCUUGUAGGCGGUUUGUCACGUCUGCUGUGAAAUCCCGAGGCUCAACCUCGGGCCUGCAGUGGGUACGGGCAGACUGGAGUGCGGUAGGGGAGAAUGGAAUUCCUGGUGUAGCGGUGGAAUGCGCAGAUAUCAGGAGGAACACCGGUGGCGAAGGCGGUUCUCUGGGCCUGACCUGACGCUGAGGAGCGAAAGCGUGGGGAGCGAACAGG